UUCUGUAAACAAGAGGGGCACAUGGAAGAAACCAAAGGAACCACCUACAAACUUCUCAGCCCCAGGUCAGGUGGAACUGCCAAUUCCUCAUUCGAUUCUCAACAUCUCCACUUACAGGUAGAUUUCAUAAAUGUUUGUUACUGCUGCCUUAUUCUUGCAAGGGGAAAUCACAGUCCUAAUACUGAAUAGUCCAAAUUCAAGGAGACUGGGCAGUAUAGCCCAGUCCCAAAAAGCUUCAUUCAAGUAAAGGCAUGCAACCUUUCUGGAAUACAACUGGGCAACAUGUACAAAAAUCUUCAGAUUCUUCAAACCCUCUGAUGCAUUAACUUCAAUGACUGAAUGACUCAGAAAUAAAUCAGAUAUGAACAAAUAUUUAUGUACAAGGAUGUUUCCUGCAAAAUUAGACAGAACACUGGAAAUUUGAAAACUUAAAUGCCAAAUAUAAAAUUAGUCAAGUAAAUUAAAACAAUUAACUCUUACAUUAAAUUUGUAAAAAUUAUGAUUUAAUCUCACAGGAAAGCACUCACAGUAUUAAAUGAAAAAACUCAGAAUUUUAUAUAACUCUAUCUAGCAUAGCCCCAAUUUUGUUUAAAAAAAGAGAGACACAAACAGGCUGGAAGACAAAAUGCCAAAGUGUUAACAGUGGUCAGGGAUGACAAGAAUGCAGUGAUUGCUAUUUUCUUUUUUUAAUAGUUUCAUUUUAAAAAUUUUCUUCAACUGUUUAUUACUUUAAAUUUUAGAAACAAGAACUUAUGCUACUUUUGGAAGAUGAAGUGAAACCACUGCAUUCCAGUUUCUACUUCGUAGCUGGACUCCAAGGACACUCAAGGCCAGGCACACCAAACUACCCAGGCUCCCGGCACAGCACUGAAACCAGGCUCUCACAGCCGAAACUGAUGCCUGCCCCCUCUAAACAACAGGAGCACAUUCCAAUUACAGUCACUGAGAUGAAGGGACAGUGGUCUUUCAUUGUGAUUUUUACUAUUUUACCCCUUUGGAGUUAGAGUCUCCACUUUUUCCACAGGUAGAUUUGGAGGAGGUCCACACCUCGCCUGUUUUGCAUUCUAGCUGAGGAACCCAGUGCCAGGCUUCCGACAACUCCUGGGAAGCCCACGAGCGCCUGAAAGCCCUCACUUGCCUCACGCCCUGAGAAACACCUGCUCACCUCAAUCAGCGUCUUGUCUUUCAAGGGGAUCUCGCCAUUGUAGCAGAUUUCCCAGAGCGUGGUUCCAAAGCUCCACUUGUCAGCAGCCACACUCAGGUUCUUGGAGUCCUCAACACACUCGGGAGCAAUCCAUGGGAUUCGUUCAAUGCACUCUGGAAGACAACAGACACACUGACGGAGCAGUUUCUGGGAUCUCCUAGGGAUUCAAUUACUGUCACUGCAGCCAGAACAGUGAGCCAAUGAAGGAACUACUUCAAGCAGUGUGCCCAAACAUGGCCCAUGGCCACAUAAGCCCUGUGUGGGGGGCCUGCAGGCGUGCAGCCCUCCAAGCCUCGCCCAGCACUUCUGAUACAUCAGUCAGGGUCACAGCCAGCAGAUGGGUCCCCUGCCUCCAAGCUCCCCAGGAGGGUCGUGUGGAGCCAGGCUUGUGAAGCCCUGGCCGCCUUAGGAUCAGCAAAACAUCCCAGGGUGGGGGCCAUCACCCAGGGCAGGGGGACGAAUGGGGGCUCGUUCAAGGACUUAAGAGAAGGCAGGAGAUCAAGACCAUCCUGGCCAACAUGGUGAAACCCCGUCUCUACCAAAA